ensembl:lncRNA LINC01405 long intergenic non-protein coding RNA 1405
ACUUGUCGGGGGAAGGGCCUGGUGGGAGGUGAUUGUAUCAUGGGGGCGGAGCUCCCCCUCCCCCUUGCUAUUCUCGUGAUAGAGCUCUCCUCACUUCUCUCUCUGUCUCUCCUGCCACCAUGUGAAGAAGGUGCUUGUUUCCCCUUUGCCUUCCGCCAUGAGUGUAAGUUUCCUGAGGUCUCCCAGUCAUACUGCUGGUUAAGCCUGCAGAACGGUGUACUUGUUUGAAAUGUAUCUGGCCCAAUCGCUGAGCGUCCGCGCUGCAUUUCUCCAAACUGCCCAGCAGGGGGCGGUGCUACCUCGGCUCCGCGCAGCCACGGCUUCCCGCUGGCGAACCAAGGGCGCGGAAUCUGGAGAGGGCGAGGAACAUCUUUCCUCCCACCUGUCCCCCGCCAAGCCUGCCAGACCCGUCUCAUCCGUGCUGCUGCUUCUGAAAAUCAGAAGAGUGAGGAUGAAAUAAAGUCUUCAUAAAGGAAAACCAUU